AUGCAAGUGAAUCUAAUUAAUGACCUUCAGUAUCUUCUGUGCUUUUUUAUUAUCCCAUCCACAGUUCCUGGAGCCUUCCGGUCACUUACAAUUCAAACAAAAGAAACACCAAAAGCUAGCUCGUGUGUCAUGGGCUCCUUUUCUCUGUCUCGGCACCAGAAGGUUCUAGAAACCGUUUGCAGACUCUCCUCAGGGACUCAGAAGUCAUCAAGCGCCGUCGCCGAGCACUUCUCAAACGGUCCCGUACGCACACGCACACACACAAACACACACGCCAGGAGAGUCUUGUUAACAAGCCCGUGGUCCUGCGUUUCCAGCAUGCUCACGGGACCCUAAUGCUGCUGAUCUGGAGACCUCGCUUUGAGCAGCGAGACUGCGGGUGGCGUUCUGAACCUGACGGUCCGUGGGCUAUUGUUCCGUAUAGGAUGCCGGGACGGCUGGGUAGCCAUCCAGAAAAAGUAACGUCAGACUUACACUCCCAAUUCCUGUACUAGGACGGAUACGAAGAAGUGUGAUCUGUGCUCGAGGUGGAAAUGCAAAAUGAUGAACAAUUGAAAGGACAACGGGCAAAGAAUAGAGACACUCAGUAACUUGACCAAACUCACAAGAAGCCGGUGCGUGAACCGGAAUGAGAAACCAUUAAUUUGCAAUGGGAAAUACUCCUUUGCGAUGACAGAACACGCAUGUCUGCCAUCCCAGGCACCUCGCUGCACAGAUCAAGAUGCCCGUGACGUUCCGUGAGGGAGCCCGGUGGGGCGCCUGGCUGGCUCCUUCAGAAGAGCAUGGGACUCUCGAUGAUCUCAGGGUCGUGAGUUCAGACCCCAUGUUGGGCAUGGAGCCUACUUUAAAUAAAUAAAUAAAUAAAUAAAUAAAUAAAUAAAUA
rnacentral:lncRNA from 1 species